GAUGAACGCUGGCGGCGUGCCUAAUACAUGCAAGUCGAGCGAACAGACGAGGAGCUUGCUCCUCUGACGUUAGCGGCGGACGGGUGAGUAACACGUGGAUAACCUACCUAUUAGACUGGGAUAACUUCGGGAAACCGGUGCUAAUACCGGAUAAUAUAUUGAACCGCAUGGUUCAAUAGUGAAUGACGGUUUUGCUGUCACUUUUAGAUGGAUCCGCGCCGCAUUAGCUAGUUGGUAAGGUAACGGCUUACCAAGGCAACGAUGCGUAGCCGACCUGAGAGGGUGAUCGGCCACACUGGAACUGAGACACGGUCCAGACUCCUACGGGAGGCAGCAGUAGGGAAUAUUCCGCAAUGGGCGAAAGCCUGACGGAGCAACGCCGCGUGAGUGAAGAAGGUCUUCGGAUCGUAAAACUCUGUUAUUAGGGAAGAACAAAUGUGUAAGUAACUAUGCACGUCUUGACGGUACCUAAUCAGAAAGCCACGGCUAACUACGUG
rnacentral:rRNA from 1 species